CCUAAUUCCCUUUUGUCCAACCUCCACCUUAAUCUCUCUCUGUCUCUGGCCACCAAGAACCACCACCAAUAUCCCCAUUCUUCUCCAAGCAUACAACAAUCACCACCAACCCCCUUGUUCUCUAGCACUCGGAAACGAGACCUGAGGACAAACCGACAAAGAUCAGAAACAAGAGAGUUGAACACAUCUUUUCCAGCUUCAAUUUACCUACAUGGUCCACAUAUCCAAAAACCCCUUUGCCGGAAAGUGAGAUUUGCAGUGGGGGAAAACAGUAUUGGUGGGGGCAUCGUUGGGAAGUCUAAUUUGAUGAUUGAAACAGUUGGCUAGGGGAGAUGAAAUGCGUUUGGAGUGUGCUCUUAGCACUAAUGUCGCUGCCGGAAAACCCACCCAGCCAUCUGAAGGGUUGAAGUGUGCUGAAGGGUUAGCAAAUAAAAAAGAUACCAGUUUAGAUCCAACGGUCAAAAUCUUGAAUGGCACUGAAGUAAUUUCGCAAAUCCCUGAUUCUCCAAGAUCAAUUUUGUUUAUAGCUCAUGGGUGUAAUGGUAGGGCUGCUAACUUUUGGGAUAAAUCUGAGCAAAUGUUUAAUUGGUUUGAAUCUCAUUUGAGAUGAUGAUGAUGAUUUGAACUUGAGUAGCAUUUGAGGAAGUUGUGAAAAUUUUGAUGAUAACUUUCAUUUUUUUCCGAUGAAAACUUCAAACAUCAAGUGUACUACCGGUGACAAUUUAAAAGGGGAUUGAUGUGGACGGUUGAAGCCGCCAUUGGUGGUUGGAGCUGCAGGCAGGCGGCUUAAACCCUAUAAAUUUGAGGAAGAUGAUGGAGUUAGGGUUGUUCAUGAGUUGAGCCGAGCCGAGCUAGGGCAAGCUCAGGCUCGGCUCGAUUAUAAACCGAGCUGGCUCGGCUCGGCUCAGAUUUGAAACCGAGCUGAAAAUCUAAGCUCGGGCUCGGCUUGGUUUUAAACCGAGCUGGCUCGGCUCGGCUUGGUUUGGCUCGAUUUCAAAAAUAAAAAUUAAUACAUAGCUCUCAAAAUUCAGUAUUGUAAAAUUUAUUCAAUAUUUCAAAAUAACAUAUUCAAAAUAAGUUCAACCAAAUACAUUACAAGCCAAAA